AGAUGACAAGGCGACCUACCGUCCUCCGAAAAUCAGUUUAAUUUUGACUCUGUGAAGUGAGUAAGAUGACUUCUUGGAGCCGGUACUGGGUUUUGUCUAUGUCGAUGAUGUACUGGAUCAUCUCUGCUGCUCAGAAGAAACAAACUCCUUGCGUCUAUGCAGUGCGGGUGUAUUAUGAAUGUUUGUGAAAAAGUGGUGUCUGUAGAUAAAAUAUUUAGGAAACUGUACUGGAUCAUCUUUACUCUGAAGACUUAAAUACAGGGUUGAAGUUCUCUUUCCGGAUUUUGACAUGGAUUGGAGGAUGAUGUACUGGAUCAUCUCUGCUGCUCAGAAGAAACAAACUCCUUGCGUCUAUGCAGUGCGGGUGUAUUAUGAAUGUUUGUGAAAAAGUGGUGUCUGUAGAUAAAAUAUUUAGGAAACUGUACUGUAUCAUCUUUACUCUGAAGACUUAAAUACAGGGUUGAAGUUCUCUUUCCGGAUUUUGACAUGGAUUGGAGGAUGAUGUACUGGAUCAUCUCUGCUGCUCAGAAGAAACAAACUCCUUGCGUCUAUGCAGUGCGGGUGUAUUAUGAAUGUUUGUGAAAAAGUGGUGUCUGUAGAUAAAAUAUUUAGGAAACUGUACUGGAUCAUCUUUACUCUGAAGACUUAAAUACAGGGUUGAAGUUCUCUUUCCGGAUUUUGACAUGGAUUGGAGGAUGAUGUACUGGAUCAUCUCUGCUGCUCAGAAGAAACAAACUCCUUGCGUCUAUGCAGUGCGGGUGUAUUAUGAAUGUUUGUGAAAAAGUGGUGUCUGUAGAUAAAGUAUUUAGGUGAGCAUGCCAUUAAUAGCCUUCCCUUUUCCUUUAGUGUUUUUGUCUUAUUUUUACUAGAAUGCCUCUAAUGGGCAAGUAGACAUAAUCUUUGAGAAAUAAUUAUCUAUUUUAAGGGAACAGCUUCUAAGAUAUAAAAUAAAAUGAACCUUAGGAGGAGAAAAUAUUGAUGGAUAAUGUACGUUAAUAUGAUUUCCUGAAGUUAUAGGAUUCUCUUUUGUUUAGUUCUUUUUUCCUACAAAACUCUCUUGAUAUUAUACUAGAAAUAGUGAAUAUUUGGAACCUAGAUUAAGAGCAUGAUGACAUUCGUAUACAAAAAACAAAUUACCCCUAAAUAGUUUUCCAAACCAUUUGUAAUUCUUGUUCAGUUCCGAUAGUAGUUCCUUUGGUCUGGAAUUAAGAGUGUAGAGCAUGUAAGAAAUUAUUAAUUUGCAACUGUCAUUUUUGACAACGUGAACGCUUAAGCAUUAUGGAAACCUUGAGUGAAAUUGUUAUUAAAAAAUCUGUCGAAACCUAGAUGAUGAUAUUCCUAUUUCGCUUAGUUUCAAUUAAGGGAAGGUGAAGGAUAAUGGUGACUUAAGUUUUUAUUAUUUUCGAAAUUACCACCAUUCUAAAUUGUCACUGUUUAUAAAUUUCAUUCUGUUUGUCUGCAAGUAUUAAACUGAAGAAAAUCGGAAUUUUUUAAUUUUUCAAGUCUACCAAUAUGUAUUUACAGUUAGUUCUGUAAAAAUUAAUGGAGGAAAGACUAUUUCCCGCCAAAUGUUUCAGCGUUUGGUGAGUGAAGAUUUGGUUUAGUAUAGUUUCAAUUGC